AGUGUCCCCUCGGGAGUUUGUUUGCUCACUAUGAUGUGAGCUGACCACCAGGGGGUGGCAUAGAACGAAGAAAGGCCCUGGCUGGCAGUGGGCAGCCAGGGAAGGAAGGCCCUGGCCAA